rnacentral:tRNA from 1 species
GCGGCCGUCGUCUAGUCUGGAUUAGGACGGCGGGUUUCCGACCCGCAAAUCGUGGGUUCAAAUCCCACCGGCCGCA